rnacentral:lncRNA from 1 species
GGGAAGAGAGGGCUGGUAGAGGCACUGACGGGCGGGGGUGCGCCCGAGAGUGCCCCGGCGUGUUCGCUUAGUUCAGUGAAUCAGAACAAUGACUGCGCCGCCGGGUCCCCGGGAGCGCGUCGGAAGACCGUGAGCAGCUGCUGCCGGGAGAGCGGCGGGCGGCGCAGCCUCGGUGGCGCGGUGUCAACGCCAGGCUUGAGAGCUGCUAGCACAGACCCUGCCCAGCGCCCGCAGCCCGCGCGGGGCUGCCGGGCUCCAGCGCUGCAGCCGCUACUCGCGAGCUGUGCAUUGUUGUGAGCUGGUUGAGGGGCGCGGGGAUUACAAAGCCUGGAAACCCCGGAGCCCCCUUUAGCCAUGUGGAUACCUACGGAGCACGAGAAAUACGGCGUGGGUGAGUCUCCGCCGGGCGAACUUUUAUUUGGCUUUGGCCGGAGCUGGUGCGCAUUUCUCGUCCUUGCCCUCGCGCCCCUCCAGCUCCGCCGGGCUGGAAAUGCCUAAUCCUGGCAUCGCGCAGUGGGUUUGGGGCUUUGCGGAG